UACCAGCACCCCGAGUGGUCGGGACGAUUAUUGGGCCUAAAGCAUCCGUAGCCGGUCAUGCAAGUCCUCCGUUAAAUCCACCUGCUUAACAGAUGGGCUGCGGAGGAUACUACAAGGCUAGGAGGCGGAAGAGGCAAGCGGUACUCAGUGGGUAGGGGUAAAAUCCUCUGAUCCAUUGAAGAACCACCAGUGGCGAAGGCGGCUUGCCAAUACGCGCUCGACGGUGAGGGAUGAAAGCUGGGGGAGCAAACCGG
rnacentral:rRNA from 1 species